UACAGAGGUCUCAAGCGUUGUUCGGAUUCAUUGGGCGUAAAGGGUGCGUAGGCGGCGCGGUAAGUCGGGUGUGAAAUCUUGGAGCUUAACUCCGAAACUGCAUUCGAUACUGCCGUGCUUGGGGACUGGAGAGGAGACUGGAAUUUACGGUGUAGCGGUGAAAUGCGUAGAUAUCGUAAGGAAGACCAGUGGCGAAGGCGGGUCUCUGGACAGUUCCUGACGCUGAGGCACGAAGGCCAGGGGAGCAAACGGG
rnacentral:rRNA from 1 species